rnacentral:rRNA from 1 species
UACGUAGGAGGCAAGCGUUGUCCGGAAUUACUGGGCGUAAAGCGCGUGUAGGUGGUGGGACAAGUCUGCUGUGAAAGCGCCUGGCUUAACCGGGCGAGGUCGGCGGAAACUGUCCGACUCGAGGACGGUAGAGGGGGGUGGAAUUCCCGGUGUAGUGGUGAAAUGCGUAGAGAUCGGGAGGAACACCUGUGGCGAAGGCGGCCCCCUGGGCCGGCCCUGACACUGAGACGCGAAGGCGUUGGGAGCGAACGGG